rnacentral:lncRNA from 1 species
CUGUGUCAUAAAAGUGACCACAGCUGAGCCGAUCUCGCCCUAUGCCAGUCCACGUGGUAAUUUUGGAAGGGCCCUGGGAUAUCUGACCUUAUGAUGGUAGAAAAGGCUUGGACUACAUGUUUGGUUUGAAGUUUGAAAAUCUCAGUCCUUCCCCAACCAUCAAAAAUAUUUACCUCCCUCCCUUGUCUCACAAUCAUCUAAGCUGCCUCCUUGAAUUGACUCCCACACCUGUUCAUCAUAGAAGGAAAAAAAUAAAAGCAAAUGCCAUAUAAAAUCUCUCUUCUUCAACAAGGUCUUCUGUUUUGAAAUACUGAAACAGUUCCUGUUCUAUUACCUCACCAGCUGUGGCCUUUUAUCUCCUAAAGGGAAUAGCUGACGUCUUACCAGUCAAAGUCAUUGUGCUUACGGACGCCAUAAAUAUCUCCUUUAAAUCCUACUUGAUAAAUUUCCCUCUGAUUGGUAAAGCAGAUACUGUAACAUGCAAAGGGGGAGCAGGAGAGUCUUUGAUGAUGUUAAACUAAGCCCCUGGAGAUAUCCCAGCUCUUCCUCCAGAAUUUUACUUUCCAACAACUGGAGUCAACAAAUACGGUAGAAAAUGUUGUCUGGAUUAUCUACUCCCAUUAUUUUUUUUUAAACUGGUUUUCAAUGAUGGGCAACCUAAAAUUUACUCACACAGAACACAAAACAGUUGAAUUUGUUAAAAGUCCAAAAUGUGCUUUUGUACUUUUGUAAAAUGGGAAUGUGCUUCUUGUACAAAUCACAAUAUGCUUUCUAGACCACAACCUAAAAAGGAAAGAAAAAAAUCCUGUGAAUAAAAAAUAAAACAAGGACUUUCAGUUUUCUACAUGCAUUUGAAAUGACUUUAUCUCUGACUCAUGUUCUACUUUAUUUUUGAUUGGGAAGACCUGUUC